rnacentral:miRNA from 1 species
UAUUGUAUUCUAUUUUGCACGAUCAGUAACAACCAAUGGUUUCAGAUUUUGCGAGUAACCAAUAAAACCCAAAAGAAGCUAAUAUAUUACCUUGAACAUAGUCAACUAUGUUCAAGGUAAUAUAUAAGUUUUCUUUCUUUUUUUGAUUGGUUACUCAUAAAUUUUGAGAAUACUGAUUGAUACUGCUCAUAAAAAAAUAGUGUUACA